GUACGGGUUACUGUACCGAGAGUUCGAAUCUCUCACUCUCCGCCAUUUUUAUAUCUCAAAAUAAGUUGUAUUUUUACAAGCGGUCUUUCUAAGAUUGGACCGCAGUGUCUUGGUCUCGCGCAAGGCAGCCUCAUGAACCUCGUCAGGUCCGGAAGGAAGCAGCGAUAAGUGAAUCGUUGUCUGUGCCGUGAGGUAGCCUGGGUACUGUGGCCCAAUGUUGGAAAGACUUUCCUUAC
rnacentral:SRP_RNA from 1 species